UCGAGCGGGGUGAUGGUGCUUGCCUAUCACUUAGCGGCGGACGGGUGAGUAAUGCUUAGGAAUCUGCCUAUUAGUGGGGGACAACAUUUCGAAAGGAAUGCUAAUACCGCAUACGUCCUACGGGAGAAAGCAGGGGAUCUUCGGACCUUGCGCUAAUAGAUGAGCCUAAGUCGGAUUAGCUAGUUGGUGGGGUAAAGGCCUACCAAGGCGACGAUCUGUAGCGGGUCUGAGAGGAUGAUCCGCCACACUGGGACUGAGACACGGCCCAGACUCCUACGGGAGGCAGCAGUGGGGAAUAUUGGACAAUGGGCGGAAGCCUGAUCCAGCCAUGCCGCGUGUGUGAAGAAGGCCUUAUGGUUGUAAAGCACUUUAAGCGAGGAGGAGGCUACUUUAGUUAAUACCUAGAGAUAGUGGACGUUACUCGCAGAAUAAGCACCGGCUAACUCUGUGCCAGCAGCCGCGGUAAUACAGAGGGUGCAAGCGUUAAUCGGAUUUACUGGGCGUAAAGCGCGCGUAGGCGGCUAAUUAAGUCAAAUGUGAAAUCCCCGAGCUUAACUUGGGAAUCGCAUUCGAUACUGGUUAGCUAGAGUGUGGGAGAGGAUGGUAGAAUUCCAGGUGUAGCGGUGAAAUGCGUAGAGAUCUGGAGGAAUACCGAUGGCGAAGGCAGCCAUCUGGCCUAACACUGACGCUGAGGUGCGAAAGCAUGGGGAGCAAACAGGAUUAGAUACCCUGGUAGUCCAUGCCGUAAACGAUGUCUACUAGCCGUUGGGGCCUUUGAGGCUUUAGUGGCGCAGCUAACGCGAUAAGUAGACCGCCU
rnacentral:rRNA from 1 species